rnacentral:rRNA from 1 species
UUUCGGGUGCGUCGACGCGGUCUGCCUCUGGUAUGUACUGCGCUCGGUGCACCUUUCUGCUGGGGACGGGCUCCUGGGCUUCACUGCUUGGGACCUGGAAUCAGCGAAGUGACCUUGAGCAAACAAGAGUGUUCAAAGCAAGCCUACGCUCUGAAUUUUUUAGCAUGGAAUCACACGAUAGGACUCUGGCCUAUCUUGUUUGGUCUGUAGGACCGGAGUAAUGAUUAAGAGGGACAGUCGGGGGCAUUCGUAUUUCAUUGUCAGAGGUGAAAUUCUUGGAUUUAUGAAAGACGAACUUCUGCGAAAGCAUUUGCCAAGGAUGUUUUCAUUGAUCAAGAACGAAAGUUGGGGGCUCGAAGACGAUUAGAUACCGUCGUAGUCUCAACCAUAAACGAUGCCGACUAGGGAUUGGCAGGUGUUCCAUUGAUGACCCUGCCAGCACCUUAUGAGAAAUCAAAGUUUUUGGGUUCCGGGGGGAGUAUGGUCGCAAGGCUGAAACUUAAAGGAAUUGACGGAAGGGCACCACCAGGCGUGGAGCCUGCGGCUUAAUUUGACUCAACACGGGGAAACUUACCAGGUCCAGACACGGGGAGGAUUGACAGAUUGAGAGCUCUUUCUUGAUUCUGUGGGUGGUGGUGCAUGGCCGUUCUUAGUUGGUGGGUUGCCUUGUCAGGUUGAUUCCGGUAACGAACGAGACCUCAGCCUGCUAAAUAGUCACGGGUACCUCGGUACACGCUUGACUUCUUAGAGGGACUAUUGGCGUUUAGUCA